GGCUGGUCAGAAGGUAGUGAGAUCUCACAACGAUUGCUUACAGUCAGUUUGUCUAUUUGUCUACCCCCGCCCCCUCCCCUCACUACUGCACUUGACUGUUUA
rnacentral:Y_RNA from 1 species